rnacentral:rRNA from 1 species
UACAGAGGGUGCGAGCGUUAAUCGGAGUUACUGGGCGUAAAGGGCGCGUAGGCGGCACAGUUAGUCAGGCGUGAAAUUCCUGGGCUCAACCUGGGGAUUGCGCUUGAGACGGCUGCGCUUGAGGACGGAAGAGGGUCGCGGAAUUCCCAGUGUAGAGGUGAAAUUCGUAGAUAUUGGGAAGAACACCGGUGGCGAAGGCGGCGACCUGGUCCGUUACUGACGCUGAGGCGCGACAGCGUGGGGAGCAAACAGG